UUUAUUUUAUACUUUAGAUCAUACAUUAAUACUACUUUAUUUUUUUGCUCAAAUUGUUCUAACUUUGGCCAUUGGUAGCCCUUUCAGUUUGUUCCUCUGUCAUUUUCACAAUCUCCAUGAUUGAGAGUUUAUGUUGUUGUUGUUUGUUUAUUUUUGUCUAUUUAUUUUGGUACUUACUUUCUGGCUCUAUAAGAUGCUCUGGACAUAACAUACAUUGUAUUUUCCCUGACCCACUACUAGGACCAGCCAUUUCUCUAAAGAACCCUGGUUCCUUUUAUUGGACAAUGGUACCAGAAACCAAGAUCUGGAUAUUAAGUGUGCUCCUUGCUCCUGGAGAGUCUCUCAGCUGACAGAGUGAAGAAAUAUACCUGUUUCUAUACUAAGAUAUGUAUAUACAUAUCUAUAAAUAUUUCUGUAUGUAACCAUCUGUAUCUAUAUCAAAUUAAUCAUGGGUUCAUGCUGACAUCUCCAACUAUAAUCCAUUACCACAUGGAUCAUUCUAGCAUCCUCCCAUUGCUUAUCUGUAACCUCCCAAUCCAAGAACAGAAAACUUAACUCUAUUGGUUGCUUUUUCAUUUUAUUCAUAGCAUCAUUGGUGAGUAGAACGUUUUAAAUAUGAUGACGUCUAAUUUGUGAUUUUUUUUCUUUUAUUUUCAGUGCUUUGUUUCUUUAAGAAAUACUUGCCUACCACAAGGUCAUGAAGUUAUUCUCCUGUGUUUUCUUAUAGAAAUUUGGUAGUUUUAGCUCUUAUGUUUAGGUCUGUGAUCUCCCUAGAAUUAAUUUUUGUGUGAUGUCUCCAAUUUUUUCUCACCUUUCUCACUAGUCCAGCAUCACAUAUAAAUGAGACGUGUAAGUGUGGCUGUUAGUGAGAAGAGUUCCCUCUGCAAACCCUCAAGUAAUUUUCUGAGUUAACUAAAACUGUAGUACUUUGGUGCAUUAAGAAAUAUAUAACAAAACAUAACAUACAGGAGGGACACAACAUUGCAUGUGCAAUCUGUUUAGCAACAAGGCUGAAAUUGGCAAUCUUAGUGAAAAUAAUUUCAGCUGAAAAACUGUGGCAGGAAACCAUACUGGAAUGAAUUGAAGCUUCACUGGGAAUUACUGAAACACAGGCAGAGAUUAUAAGUGACAAAUCAGUUUUUAGUGAUGAAAGGACUUUGAAGAUUAAUGACUUGUGUUAGAUCCCACAGCUAAUUAAGUAGCAGAGUCAGAAUAUAUGGCUUAUUUCAAUGUUGAUUUGAGAAUGGAAAAGCACAUAGGCUUUGGACUCAAAUAGAUGGGGUUUAAAAUUGCAGCUUCACAUUGGGCAAGUUCUCUGACUCUCCAUUUCCUUAUCUACCUCUUAGGAAUGUUGGGAAGAUUAAAUAAAAUAAUUAAUUCCAGUUCUGCUUCCUACCAAGAUGCUGACAAAGCAAAAUUGCUGGCUCUCUCCUCCAAGAUCAACCUCAAAGGACCCACAGAGGAGGAAAAUAUGCCAAGAUCAAGCUUUCCAAUGAAAAUCUAAAGUCCAAAUUGAGAGCUGCUAUCCUGGACUCAAGAGAUGAGAACAAAGAUUACAGAGAAACCUCAGUUGCUAAACUGUCCCUGCUUCAUGACAUCACACAUUCAGAGCUGAUCCCCACUUAUCCUGUUCCCUCUUCAGAAUUCAUCAACACCGGGCUCCAACACUAAGUUGACAUCAUUAUUGUAUAACCUGAUGCCUUGGAUUCCUAUUUUUGUGCUGAAGGAUUUCCUCUCGUAAUUUUUCAGGUCUGAAGAAGCAAGGAAAGCGAGCAGUGUCAACAGAGACCUGAGGAAGAGACACUACCCAGCAGUAGCUAUGGCCAUGGAGUAACACAGCCCUGCCAGAACAACACAGGAUGGUAGGGAAUGAAUUCCCAUAUCUCUCCCUUACUCCCAUUAUUAGAAGUACUGCUUCUCUUUGGCCAUUCCCAGUGGAAAGCCAUAGGGUAAGGGAAUACAGAGCAUGCAUUCCGUGGGGGCCAUCUUUCUAAGGCACAAAAAGCAGGACAGAGAAGAGCAGACAAU